CCUACGGGAGGCAGCAGUGAGGAAUAUUGGUCAAUGGACGAGAGUCUGAACCAGCCAAGUAGCGUGAAGGAUGACUGCCCUAUGGGUUGUAAACUUCUUUUAUAUGGGAAUAAAAUGUUCCACGUGUGGGAUUUUGUAUGUACCAUAUGAAUAAGGAUCGGCUAACUCCGUGCCAGCAGCCGCGGUAAUACGGAGGAUCCGAGCGUUAUCCGGAUUUAUUGGGUUUAAAGGGAGCGUAGGUGGAUUGUUAAGUCAGUGGUGAAAGUUUGCGGCUCAACCGUAAAAUUGCAGUUGAAACUGGCAGUCUUGAGUACAGUAGGGGUGGGCGGAAUGCGUGGUGUAGCGGUGAAAUGCUUAGAUAUCACGAAGAACUCCGAUUGCGAAGGCAGUUCACUGGACUGCAACUGACACUGAGGCUCGAAAGUGUGGGUAUCAAACAGGAUUAGAUACCCGGGUAGUC
rnacentral:rRNA from 1 species